rnacentral:rRNA from 1 species
CUCCAAUAGCGUAUAUUAAAGUUGUUGCAGUUAAAAAGCUCGUAGUUGGAUCUCGGUCGGCCGGCACGCGGUCUCACGGGUACCCAGGCGCAAUGCCGCCCGUGCUGCACUGCCGUCGGCGACCAACCGGCAGGGGGGUGGCACGUAACUGUCCGCCCGGCUCUUGGCUUCAGGGCCCACGCGGUCUCCUGGACCAGAGCCGCUCCGGGUGCCCUUGACUGGGUGGCCCGCGGCACCUGUCCGUUUUACUUUGAAAAAAUUAGAGUGUUCAAGGCAGGCUCCGACGGCCUGAAUAAUGGUGCAUGGAAUAAUGGAAAAGGACCUCGGUCCUAUUCUGUUGGUUCUCCGGGACUCGAGGUAAUGAUCAAGAGGGACAGACGGGGGCAUUCGUACUGCGGCGUGAGAGGUGAAAUUCUUGGACCGCCGCAAGACGGACUACUGCGAAAGCAUUUGCCAAGAAUGUUUUCAUUAAUCAAGAACGAAAGUCAGAGGUUCGAAGACGAUCAGAUACCGUCCUAGUUCUGACCAUAAACGAUGCCGACUGGCGAUCCGCCCGAGUUGUACCUAUGACCCGGCGGGCAGCCCCCGGGAAACCUCAAGUCUUUGGGUUCCGGGGGAAGUAUGGUUGCAAAGCUGAAACUUAAAGGAAUUGACGGAAGGGCACCACCAGGAGUGGAGCCUGCGGCUUAAUUUGACUCAACACGGGGAAACUCACCCGGCCCGGACACCGUGAGGAUUGACAGAUUGAGAGCUCUUUCU